rnacentral:rRNA from 1 species
CCUACGGGAGGCAGCAGUAGGGAAUUUUCGGCAAUGGGGGGAACCCUGACCGAGCAACGCCGCGUGAACGAAGAAGUUCUUCGGAAUGUAAAGCUCUUUUUACAGGGAAGAAAGAGAAAGUUGACGGUACCUGAAGAAUAAGCUCCGUCUAACUACGUGCCAGCAGCCGCGGUAAUACGUAGGGAGCGAGCGUUAUACGGAUUUAUUGUUCGAAAAGGAUGCGUAUAUGGCGUAGUAAGUCUGUUGUAAAAAUGCUGGGCUAAACCGAGUAUGGCAAAAGAUACUGCAAAGCUAGAGUAUGACAGAGGCAAGUGGAACUACAUGUGUAGCGGUGAAAUGCGUAGAUAUAUGGAAGAACACCAGUGGCGAAGGCGGCUUGCUGGGUCGAUACUGACAUUGAGGCACGAAAGCGUGGGGAGCAAACAGGAUUAGAUACCCUGGUAGUC